rnacentral:misc_RNA from 1 species
AAGUCGUAACAAGGUUUCCGUAGGUGAACCUGCGGAAGGAUCAUUAACACGUAUCCAACGUUAAAACCCCCCCCGUGAACUUUCAAUCCUGCUCUUGUAACCCGCGUAGUUCGCAAUCUCUGGUAAAUCAUAGCCCGGAAAGUUGUUUGAUUCAGAGACCUCUGGCUACGUGAGAACAAUGGAACAGUUACAAUCGAGCGGUAGUUUCAUAGGCAUUGUUUCCCCAAGCAGUCAGUGUCGGAAAGUGUCACUGAUUGUGCAAGGAUAGCGCUUCACGAUUCCUGUAGACCGUACACUCGGGCAGGAGCUAUGCCAAAGGGUCCCCAUGCCCCCUUAUAACCCCACAGUUUAAUGUAAAGCUCAAUGUAAUACAUUGGGUAAAAAAACCGAACAACUGUUAACAAUGGAUAUCUUGGUUCUC